AGUCCUGUAGUAAAGAUCUUACAUAAGAUUGCAAAUCUUGAGACGGAGAUUAGGCUCUCCCGGGGCUU
rnacentral:tRNA from 1 species